rnacentral:rRNA from 1 species
CGAAGGUGGCAAGCGUUGUUCGGAUUUACUGGGCGUACAGGGAGCGUAGGCGGUUCGGUAAGCCCUUUGUGAAAUCUCCAGGCUUAACCUGGAACAGUCGGAGGGGACUGCCGGGCUAGAGGGCGGGAGAGGAGCGCGGAAUUCACGGUGUAGCGGUGAAAUGCGUAGAGAUCGGGAGGAAGGCCGGUGGCGAAGGCGGCGCUCUGGAACGUUUCUGACGCUGAGGCUCGAAAGCGUGGGGAGCAAACAGGAUUAGAUACCCUGGUAGUCCACGCCUUAAACUAUGAAUACUAAGUGUCGGCGGGUUACCGCCGGUGCCGCAGCUAACGCAUUAAGUAUUCCGCCUGGGAAGUACGGCCGCAAGGUUG